rnacentral:misc_RNA from 1 species
GUAUGAGAACCACUGAUUUUGUGGGUUGCUCUGCCCGCCCUAUCUAUGAAUUGUGAUUUUGAGCUUAGACGAAAAGCAGACGACAGUCGACCGACUGAUUCAUAUACACUUACUGACGCUUACGUAAGGUGUAUACAAAGCACGUGUUUUCUUGCCGGCUUACAUCAUCCAUGUUCAUGCUUCAUUAUGAACGGUGCAAAUUCUGAAGCGCACGUACAAUUUGAAGUAUUUAAUAUUUUAUAAUAAUUGUCGUAAAUAUCGAUCGUCAUGAGUACAUGGAGUUUUCUACGCCGAGAAGUCUUCACGCACAAUACGAGAUAAUCUUUUCAAUCAGUGGCCACUAUUUUCCUUUAUCAGCUCAAUGACGUUUCUUAAAAUCUCGACACUUCUGAUCGGAUCUUUAGACGCCGAAGAAAAGCAAAAAUGUUCCAUGAGCAAGAAAAAACCGCAGGGAAUCUUUCGAAAAAGGAUGUUUUGUUCACGUCAUUUAUCUCAGGUGCUCUUGCAGGGAUUGUUUGUGACGUGACACUUUAUCCAUUGGACACUCUUAAAACUCGCUUACAAAGCCAGCAUGGAUUUUUUCAAUCUGGUGGCUUUAAACAUUUGUACAAAGGUAUAGGUCCUGUGAUACUAGGAUCUGCGCCAUCAGCUGCUAUAUUUUUUAUAACUUACGAGGGAAUAAAACAGUAUUCACAACCAUACAUAUCAGAUCAGUAUCACUCUAUUAUACACAUGAUUGCAGCAUCAUCUUCUGAAAUGACAGCCUGCUUGAUUCGUGUACCAGUAGAGGUGAUUAAGCAACGAAGGCAGGCACUUUUGUCUGACCCACAUCGAUUAAGAUUAAGGACAUUAUAUCGGGGCUAUGGAAGUACUGUCUUGCGGGAUCUGCCGUUCGGUGUGAUUCAGAUGCCAUUGUGGGAAUAUUUUAAACUUUAUUGGUCUCGACACAUGCAGCACGAGUGCACACCAUUUGAAGGUGCUGUAUGUGGAGCUGCGUCAGUUGCUAUAUCAGCUGCCAUAACGACGCCGUUAGACGUCGCAAAGACUAGAAUUAUGUUGUCCAGUACCUCGGCCGAGAAGGAAGAAGUUAAAAUUUCCACAAUGUUAAAAGAGGUCUACAGAAGUAAUGGCGUUAAGGGAUUGUUCGCUGGUUUUAUCCCAAGAGUAACUGGUUUUACUAUUGGUGGAUUCAUAUUCUUUGGAGUUUAUGAACAAGCCAGAGAAUUUUGUAUAUCCUACUUUUCGCAAUGAUUGCGAAUAGCCAAAAAAUAGAUAAAAAGUUAACUUAUUGAAGUAAUAAUUUUUACGGAUACUGUGUAGCAGAUCGGCAAUAUCCGGAGUUAAUGUCGAAAGCUUAAGAGAUCACAUUUAUCAGUUUUCAGCCUCUCAAGAAAUUUUGGGGAAAGUUAUAAGAUUUUAAAUUUCUAUUUAACAAUAAG